rnacentral:lncRNA from 1 species
AACACUUGUAAUUUCGACAUCAUUUCUCCUGGAAUAAUAACUAGGAUUGUGCACAUUUCAGCAAUUUUCUUUUUCACAUUUUCAGUCAGGUGAUCCUUGAACAUGUUGAGUAUGAGCAUCCUUCUCUGACUCAGUAACGCACCUGAGCACCUACCCAAGACCACAUUCAACCAAUCUAACACAAGUUCUUCAUUCAUCCAUCCAUUUUCCUGCACACAAAAGAUCACUCCUGAUGGUAACUUAUCCUGAGGUAAUGUAAUUUUAAGGUGUGUAAUUUAAAGUGGUAAUUUUAAGGUGUAAAACCUUAAAAUUAUGUAAAGAAUCAGUUUUCACCUAUCAGUUGUGACUGUAAGCAUCACAUUCAUUCUUUUCUCAUUUUCAUUAGUUUUAAUCAACACUGAUUUGACACUGUUAGUAUUAACGAUGAUAUUUGAUGAAAUAUCAAAACAACAUGUGUUUGGUUGGGAUGUCUCAUCUGCCCCAGGAGACAACCAUGUUUAUUACGUAUGCUGAGGUGCACAAUACACAACUUAUGGUUUCAAAGCUGGAAGUGUUCGAAUAUAGUGCGAAUGCAACUUUCAAAGACAUGAAGAGAGAGGUUUUGAAGGACUUGUGGACCAAGAUGCAAAAGCCAGGGUUCCAAUGGAAUGUCCCAAGGAGGGGCAGUUGGGGGUUUGCUGGCCACACUCUGAGAGGAGAAACUGAGCUUGUGGACUUUGUCUCUGACUGGGGGACACACACUCUUUUCCCUGGAAGUUUGAAGCUGUCUGAGAGACUUUUGUGAUGCUGACUUGGCUUUUGGACUUUGUCUCUGGCUCUGAGCAGUGGAAGGUGAUCAGGGAGAAGCUUUGAGUUGGUGGUCUAUAAGAGAGUUGAGCUGGCCAGGAGAAAAGGAGAGACUUUGAACAUUGUUUCUUUCUGAGGUUAAGCUGAGAGAUCUGGCUGAUUUGUGAAGAAGAAGAAAGAACUGCUAUUGUCCUCCAUCUUUCUAACUGUCUAAGAGUCAUACUUGUGACUCCCCAAACCCUCAAUUUUAUCUCAUUUAGAUUAGGGAAAUUCCUCAUCCCUCUUACCUCAGUUUCCCAUCCUGUUAUACCAAUAAACUCCUCGACUGAGAAAGCA